GACGAACGCUGGCGGCGUGCCUAAUACAUGCAAGUAGAACGCUGAAGGAGGAGCUUGCUUCUCUGGAUGAGUUGCGAACGGGUGAGUAACGCGUAGGUAACCUGCCUGGUAGCGGGGGAUAACUAUUGGAAACGAUAGCUAAUACCGCAUAAGAGUAGAUGUUGCAUGACAUUUGCUUAAAAGGUGCAAUUGCAUCACUACCAGAUGGACCUGCGUUGUAUUAGCUAGUUGGUGGGGUAACGGCUCACCAAGGCGACGAUACAUAGCCGACCUGAGAGGGUGAUCGGCCACACUGGGACUGAGACACGGCCCAGACUCCUACGGGAGGCAGCAGUAGGGAAUCUUCGGCAAUGGACGGAAGUCUGACCGAGCAACGCCGCGUGAGUGAAGAAGGUUUUCGGAUCGUAAAGCUCUGUUGUAAGAGAAGAACGGGUGUGAGAGUGGAAAGUUCGCACUGUGACGGUAUCUUACCAGAAAGGGACGGCUAACUACGUG
rnacentral:rRNA from 1 species